CUGCUCUUUUGGGAGGUAUGAGCUGCACACAAUUUUGUUUUUUUUCAUGUCCAGCUGGUAACCCACUUGAUUUCUUACACACAUACACACACUUACACAUAAAGACAUCACCUCUCAAAGAUAUGCAGAGAAUAGCAUAUAAAUAUGCUUUAUGGAAAAUAUUUUCCUAAAAUCCUGCCAAGUAUGUAAGAUCGUCUGCAUCACAAUGAAGUCAGUAUUUCAUAUAAUUGUUUAGAUUCUUAGCAUUGUGCAUUUCCCUCACUCUUACCCCCAUUCUCAAAUUGCACACUGGUGCCAGAAUUAAGAAAUAAUCCUGGGUCAAAUACCGCCUGGUGGUUUCUACUUUAGCUGUGACUAUCCUAAGCUAAGGGUUUCCGUGGUGGCUCAGCGGUAAUCCACCUGCAGUGCCGAAGCCACAGGAGAUGAGAGUUUGAUCCCUGGGUUGGGAAGAUUCCUUGGAAGAGGACAUGGCAACCCAUUCUGGUAUUCUUGCUUGGAGAAUCCCAUGGACAGAGGAGACUGGCCAGAUAAAGCUCAUAGCAUCCCAAAGAGUCAGACAUGACUGAAGCAACUGAGCAUGCAUGCAGGCAUACUAAGCUAAAGAUUUUUGAAUGCCAGGCAAAGGUGAUAAUGAAGUUUGGACCAAUGAAGGGGCAUCAGAGGGAAUUUGGGGAAAGUUUUCUAGAUUUUAAAUACACUCAAACUUCUGGGUUUUGCUGUCUACAUGUGAUUCCUGGAACUGCGGCUGUCAUCCUGCUACCUGCGGACCCCAGCUUUAGUGAUUUGUGAGAGAGUAAUUUUCUGUUAUGAGGGCUUCCCCGGUGGCACAGUGGUAAAGAAUCUGCCUGCCAAUGCAGAAGACACCGAAGAUAUCAGCUCGACCCCUGGGUCAAGAAGAUCCCCUGGAGUAGGAAAAGGCAACCCACUCCAGUAUACUUGCCUGGAAAAUUCCAUAGACAGAGGAGCCUGGCAGGGUAACAGCCCAUGAGGUCACAAAGAAUCGGACAUGACUGAGUGAGCGCAUGCGCACGCGCGCGCACGCACACACACACACACACACACACACACACACACACACUUUUCUGUUAUAUUUUAAGCCAACUAACCUGUGAUGAUUUGUUUCAGUAGUCUUUCUACCCAUUUGCAUGACUCUUUCCAGCUGCUGUGGUGCUGUCACAGAAAUAACGGAUGGUUGAGUUAUUUUUGCAGUGAUUAUGAAGGCAGAGAGAGAAAUGGGAUACUGGGUUUUUCAAAGUAAUGACUGAAUGAUGGUAAGAGUGAAACGUGGAAUAUAAGUUGGUCAUGAGCGAAAAUGAAGAUAAAAUGGAGCUGGUUUUUCAUUUCAUUUUCAUAACAAAAAUAUGAGAGCAUUAAAGAUAAGAGGUUAUAACCUGGUUGAAGAACAUUGUGAGUAUACCUGUUAGCAUUCAAUUUAAUGCUGAGUUUGAUUAAAUCAAAUAGCAAGGUCAGAGUUUCUAUUGCCAAGUUUAAAAGUUAGCACUGAACUGUAGUCAGUAACAAAAUUGGAGGUGUUGCAAAUUGGAGAGUUAACUGAGGAUGUCAUUUCCCAGGACUAUAUCAGAAACUUCACCCUGUACAAUGGAAACUGAAAUAUUAGAAUUGUGAGCAUAGCUACUUAUAAAAUACUGGAUUCAGGCAGGUACUCAUUGAAAAUGUAACUGAAGAAUAAGACACUUUAACAAAUUUUUUUCCUGCCACAGUUUUUCUGCAUGAAGAAAUUACUGUAUAUUUUAAUGUUUCCUGAGUUUUUUUUUUUUUAAUGUGCUUUAAAGUAGAAGUCAGACAGUAUUUGACACUCCCCUGGCAAUUUAGGUAGGAAAAUAAAAUAUUCAAAAUACACA
ensembl:lncRNA